rnacentral:rRNA from 1 species
UACGGUGGGUGCAAGCGUUAAUCGGAAUUACUGGGCGUAAAGCGCGCGUAGGCGGUUUUUUAAGUCGGAUGUGAAAGCCCCGGGCUCAACCUGGGAACUGCAUCCGAUACUGGAAGACUAGAAUGCGGGAGAGGGAGGUAGAAUUCCAUGUGUAGCAGUGAAAUGCGUAGAUAUAUGGAGGAAUACCAGUGGCGAAGGCGGCCUCCUGGCUCGACAUUGACGCUGAGGUGCGAAAGCGUGGGGAGCAAACGGG